UGCUGGAGGUAUCAGAAGUGCGAAUGCUGACAUAAGUAACGAUAAAGCGGGUGAAAAGCCCGCUCGCCGGAAGACCAAGGGUUCCUGUCCAACGUUAAUCGGGGCAGGGUGAGUCGACCCCUAAGGCGAGGCCGAAAGGCGUAGUCGAUGGGAAACGGGUUAAUAUUCCCGUACUUGGUGUUACUGCGAAGGGGGGACGGAGAAGGCUAUGUUGGCCGGGCGACGGUUGUCCCGGUUUAAGCGUGUAGGUGUGUGUUCCAGGUAAAUCCGGUUCACUUUAACACUGAGGCGUGACGACGAGGCACUACGGUGCUGAAGCAACAAAUGCCCUGCUUCCA
rnacentral:rRNA from 1 species